CGGGCAACGUUAGUGACACUGAGGUUUCUACUCGGCUCUCUGGUGAGGAGUUGAGCUAGCCUCGUGUGAGCUAGCGGGUAGCUACUUUUGUAUUCGAGGCAUGGUGUUCUGCAUUUCUGUGUCGCCUUGGGCGUCAAGAGUAAGUUAACUUAGCUAUCUGAUGGUUAAGUGUUUUCACGUUUCUUUAACAUCGUCGAUGUAACGUAGGUUGUCGGUUUCUGUGUUGAACGAGCUAACAUUAGCUUACUUUACAUAUGUUAGCUGAGGUAAUGUUUAGCUAACGCUCGUGUUAUAGGUUAAUUAGUGGCAGGUGGGUUUAGACACCUGAGGGGUCACGUGCUACACACUUCAUCUAAUAACCACGAUUUUAUUGAAGUGCUUUGAAACUGGUUCCACGCAGACAUGUAUAGACAAGCUCACAUAUACCGGAGCGGUCAGUCCGGACAGUCACGUGACCAGACACGUUAUUGUACAGGUCUGUUCACGUGACGUCGGGACUCUGUUCACGUGACGCUCUUAACUUGAUGCUGUUGACGUGGUCGGGACUCUGUUCACGUGACUGUUGUUAACAUGACGCUUAUAACUGCGCUAUGGCGGACAUGACAGCUCACAGCUCCUCAGAAGCUCCGUGCACCGUGAGCUGUCCAGUGAGGGGAUGGUUUCAUGAUCAAAUCUUCAUUUACUGUCCACAUUAUCAGAUGAGGACGUCACCAAAGAGUGUCCUUUGAGUCAAUGUUUACAUUUAUGUACAGAUAAUUAAGAACAAUUAGUUAAUUGUAAAAUGCUAAUUAUUUUCUCCUGCCACCUUUCAGACAUUAUAAUCCAAUUUGGAUGGAACAACUUCGUGACCUUAAUGACACCCAGCAACACGAUGUUUUUUUCUUUAUUUGUGUUAGAGCUAGAGAGACACACAAGCACCACAGGGGAGGAUCUGCAGCAAAGGGACCACCGGAAAUCAAACCUUGGCCGCCAUGAUGACGACAUGUGGCACUUGAGUGUGAAUCUAGCCUUUUCAUUUUUAUUUACAACAUUAGCAUUGAAAAGAGCAAAAGUUGAUGCUUGAGAUGAUUUUGGUUUUCCUGAAGAGGAUGUAUGUCCUCCCCUUGUCCUUUAUCCCCUUACUCUUUCUUUUUAGGUGUGAUUACGACUACCAGCAUGAACCUCAACACCUUCUUUGCUGUUCCACUAGUGUGACCCAUGAUCGGAUACAAGUUGUCAAGGAUAAACGGGAAGAGAAUCAUGUCAGCCCACAGACAACCGUUGACCUGUGAGUCUUCAAGCAGUAAUGAUGACUACUCCUGCCUUAAGUUCCAGUUUCCUGAACAUCAUGUCGGCAUGAGAUUUUGUCCCUACCUGUCUUCAGUCUGGACCCAAUGAGUUUUUUUUUUUUACAGUGCGUUUACAGUCACAUGGUUUUUUUCGAGGCUUUGUCUGAGUUUCAGUGCUGCAGUUAUUUACCAUUCAGGGUUGUUCAGAAACAUCCAAUUUGUCAUUCUCAUUUGAAGGGCUUGCUGCUGUGAUUCUUUUGUGUACACCAGGAUUUCUUUGUAUUUUGGCAUUUUACACAAAUGUUUUUGAAAGAUGGUCAACAAAGUUGCACAAAUAAAUGUUUAACUGCU